UCCCGACUAUCUCCGUGAAGAACAAUUGCACGGAAGAUGAAUGGAGGCAUAUGAGAACUUCGUCUAUAUUUAUCCUGUUUCUAUGCCAUGCUCUUCCUCAAAAGGAUUUGUUCAAAUCGUCCUACACCACAGCUCAUACUAGCGCAUCUGUUUUUCAGGUGCUGCACAACUAGCUUGGAUGCCAAAGCCCUCCUGUUUGCUGGUCCUUCGUUGCUGCAUACGCAUGAGUCUAAAAUUGAGGACUACUAUUGAGAUCCUCACACCCUGCUAGCCGCCUAGGCUUUCUGUACCGGAAAACUGCCCCCAGCUUGCGAUGUACAUUGUCGCCAAACCUCAACCAUCGGAUUUUGAACUAAAGGAACGACGGAGGUUGUCUUGGGGACCGCCACAACAAGACGAAAGGCGACGUAGAGGGAACAGGUUACGGAGACAGGUGCGUAGAGUCAGGUCAUCAAUGUAGCGAAAUUGCGAGUUCGCUGCCACGAUAU